GACUUAUGGUUUGGAGGGGCAGUAUUCGUCAUGCCUUUGGCUGUACAAAAUAAAAGCUGCAGCCACAUGUCCACAGCAACGGAAUGCGUGGGAUUGUGGGUUAUUCAUGCUGAAGUACAUGGAUAUGUUAUCAAGUGGAAUUGGAAGCUGGAAAUGGAAUCAGUACAAUUCGGAGCAGGAGCGGCGCAAAGUAGCACUGUCUUUGGUUCUGGAUGAUGCCAACGUUGUCCGUCAUCAAAUUAUGCGGAA